rnacentral:rRNA from 1 species
CCAGAGAACUUAGCAGNGAUGCUUUGGUGCCUUCGGGAACUCUGAGACAGGUGCUGCAUGGCUGUCGUCAGCUCGUGUUGUGAAAUGUUGGGUUAAGUCCCGCAACGAGCGCAACCCUUAUCCUUUGUUGCCAGCGAUUCGGUCGGGAACUCAAAGGAGACUGCCGGUGAUAAACCGGAGGAAGGUGGGGAUGACGUCAAGUCAUCAUGGCCCUUACGGCCAGGGCUACACACGUGCUACAAUGGCGCAUACAAAGAGAAGCGACCUCGCGAGAGCAAGCGGACCUCAUAAAGUGCGUCGUAGUCCGGAUUGGAGUCUGCAACUCGACUCCAUGAAGUCGGAAUCGCUAGUAAUCGUAGAUCAGAAUGCUACGGUGAAUACGUUCCCGGGCCUUGUACACACCGCCCGUCACACCAUGGGAGUGGGUUGCAAAAGAAGUAGGUAGCUUAACCUUCGGGAGGGCGCUUACCACUUUGUGAUUCAUGACUGGGGUGAAGUCGUAACAAGGUAAGCGUAGUGCU